rnacentral:rRNA from 1 species
UACAGAGGGGGCAAGCGUUGUUCGGAAUUACUGGGCGUAAAGGGCGCGUAGGCGGCCUGCUAAGUCGAGCGUGAAAUCCCCGGGCUCAACCCGGGAACUGCGUCCGAUACUGGUUGGCUUGAAUCCGGGAGAGGGAUGCGGAAUUCCAGGUGUAGCGGUGAAAUGCGUAGAUAUCUGGAGGAACACCCGUGGCGAAGGCGGCUCUCUGGUCCGAUACUGACGCUGAGGCGCGAAAGCUAGGGUAGCAAACAGG